rnacentral:rRNA from 1 species
GAUGAACGCUGGCGGCGUGCCUAAUACAUGCAAGUCGAACGGGGAGUAGCAAUACUCUUAGUGGCGAACGGGUGAGUAACGCGUUGGUACCUGCCCCGAAGCGGGGGAUAACGGACCGAAAGGUCCGCUAAUACCCCAUGUGCUCGGUAACGAGUAAAGGUGAAAACCACUUUGGGAGGGGCAUGCGUCCCAUCAGCUAGUUGGUAAGGUAACGGCUUACCAAGGCGAUGACGGGUAGGGGACCUGAGAGGGUGGCCCCCCACAAUGGAACUGAAACACGGUCCAUACACCUACGGGUGGCAGCAGUAGGGAAUAUUGGUAAUGGGCGCAAGCCUGAACCAGCAACGCCGCGUGUGGGAUGACGGCCUUCGGGUUGUAAAGCACUUUUGACUGGGACGAGGAAGGACGGUACCGGUCGAAUCAGCCUCGGCUAACUACGUG